rnacentral:rRNA from 1 species
CUACGGGAUGCAGCAGUUAGGAAUAAUCUACAAUGCACGCAAGUGUGAUAGUUUGAGCCAGAGUGUGUUUCUAUUGAAAUGCUUUUAUGGAAUGUAAAAAGUUCCACGAAUAAGGACUGGGUAAGACAGGUGCCAGCCGCCGCGUGUAAUACCUGCGGUCCAAGUCGCAGCCAUUUUUAUUGGGUCUAAAACAUCCGUAGCUUGUUUUGUAAGUUUCCUGUGAAAUCCGGUUUCUUAAGAAUCGGGCGGGCAGGAAGUACUGCAGAACUAGAGACUGGGAGACGUAAGAAGUACGUUUGAAGUAGCGGUAAAAUGUGUUAAUCUCAAACGGACUCACAACAGCGAAGGCAUCUUACGAGAACAGUUCUGACAGUAAGGGAUGAAGGCCAGGGGCGCAAAACGGAUUAGAUACCCGGGUAGUC